AUGUGUGUGAGCACAAAUCUGAAGGAAGCCAACGGCAAAAGUUCGAGCCUACGAACAGAAACUGCAUAUCAGGCGUGAUAGUAUGGGUGAUGCUGCAAAAGAAGCAAAAGCCCGACACUGUACAGGAUACUAUAACGUAAAUGCAGAGGCUACAUGAACGGAAAGCGGACACA
rnacentral:ncRNA from 1 species